CGACACAAGCCUUCACUCUCUCCCUGCAAGGCAGCGGUGCUGCCAUCUCUCCUUAUCUCCCCGCCACGGCGUGGCCGCCGCCAUAUCUCCCCUCAUGGCUACUCCCAGCUGCCUCCCCUCCAUGGCGUGUCAAUCAACCCACACCCUUCUCUCACCGCCGCCUCCCAUCCCCCAUGGCGUCGCUCAUCCCAUCCACUCCCCGCCACGGCGUUGCCAACACAUCUGGCACGGCGAGCAGCGAGAUCCGACCGGGAGGUGGAGAAGGCCUCGUUGUUAUCCGUUCGCAGAAGUCCACGUAGCUGGCCUGUCCGGAUUUGGGCAAGAUGACCUCAGGCACGAGGUGUGGCUCGACAAGUUGGAGGGAUGGCCCCCUGGUUCUCAGGCCCGGUCUUCUAGUUCAGCCGAGACGCACCGUCCAUCUCCAUAGCGGGGACAUCCCAGGCAGCAGCGGAGUAGCCUCCAAGGAAAGCCGGACCAAGCGUGAGCACGACAAGUAACUCGAGGCGCUGCACCGGUGACCAUGGGAGUCUUGUACACGAAGAAGUACUACAAAUUGGCCAAGCACCAGUAUUGGAUGCGUCAAAUCUCGGACUGAUCAAACCCAACAGCCUCGUUCGGUUCAGGGGGAUGGUUCAGGACAUGCUCGGGGCGAGUUCUAUGCCGGCUCUUUAGAGGAUGUGCUACCUGGAGGACAAAAAAGUUCACAGACUUCUCACCAUUCUCGAUGAUGUACCCAUGUGAUUCGCAUCUCUGGGAGCACCAUCUCUGCCAUUGCGUGCCUGUAUGUUACUACAUGCCUGAGCACUUGUUUUUUUCACUUUCUUACCAUUAGUGUAGUUCACCUGGAACUUAUGAAAAUAACUUCUUUAAGGUGCAUAGGCAGAAUUCUUGGAUACUGGAGUCUCCCCCUGGACCUGUCUUUCGCCAAAUGGCAAACUGGUUGACACCUGAACAAAGAG